rnacentral:rRNA from 1 species
AACGAACGCUGGCGGCGUGCCUAACACAUGCAAGUCGCGCGCGAAAGUCUUCGGAUGAGUAGAGCGGCGCACGGGUGAGUAACACGUGGGUAAUCUGCCCUUAGGUCUGGAAUAACUCGGCGAAAGCCGUGCUAAUACCGGAUAAUACCAAUUCUCGAAAGUGAGUUGGGAAAAGCGGAGGCCUCCUUCGGGAGCUUCGUGCCAAAGGAUGAGCCCGCGGCCCAUCAGCUAGUUGGCGGGGUAAUGGCCCACCAAGGCUAAGACGGGUAGCUGGUCUGAGAGGAUGAUCAGCCACACUGGAACUGAGACACGGUCCAGACUCCUACGGGAGGCAGCAGUGGGGAAUCUUGCGCAAUGGGCGAAAGCCUGACGCAGCAACGCCGCGUGUGUGAUGAAGGUCUUCGGAUCGUAAAGCACUGUCGGCAGG